rnacentral:rRNA from 1 species
AGUGUAGUUAACACCUUGCACUAUUUGACGUUACCUACAGAAGAAGCUACCGGCUAACUCCGUGCCAGCAAGCCGCGGUAAUACGGAGGGUGCGAGCGUUAAUCGGGAAUUACUGGGCGUUAAAAGCGCAUGCAGGCGGCCUGUUAAGUCAGAUGUGUAAAGCCCGGGGCUUAACCUCGGAAUUUGCAUUUGAAAACUGGCAAGGCUAGAGUCUUGUAGAGGGGGUAGAAUUUCAGGUGUAGCGGUGAAAUGCGUAGAGAUCUGAAGGAAUACCAGUGGCGAAGGCGGCCCCCUGGACAAAGACUGACGCUCAGAUGCGAAAGCGUGGGGAGCAAACAGGAUUAGAUACCCCUGGUAG